AUUGAACGCUGGCGGCAGGCCUAACACAUGCAAGUCGAACGAGUGGCGGACGGGUGAGUAAUGUCUGGGAAACUGCCCGAUGGAGGGGGAUAACUACUGGAAACGGUAGCUAAUACCGCAUACCAUCGGAUGUGCCCAGAUGGGAUUAGCUAGUAGGUGGGGUAACGGCUCCCCUAGGCGACGAUCCCUAGCUGGUCUGAGAGGAUGACCAGCCCAACUUGAACGGAGACACGGUCCAGACUCCUACGGGAGGCAGCAGUGGGGAAUAUUUCACAAUGGGCGCAAGCCUGAUGCAGCCAUGCCGCGUGUAUGAAGAAGGCCUUCGGGUUGUAAAGUACUUUUGUCAGGGAAGCGGUACCUGAAGAAUAAGCACCGGCUAACUACGUGCCAGCAGCCGCGGUAAUUC
rnacentral:rRNA from 1 species